GGCCGGUAUGAAUGGCGUUACGAAGGCCCCACUGUCUUAAGAGGACUCUCCAUGAAAUUGAAUUCGUAGUGAAGAUGCUACGUCCAUAUUGUAAGACGAAAAGACCCCAUUGAGCUUUACUAAAGACUUGCAUGGCUCAAAAUAAUUUGACUUAAAUAAAAAGUUUAGAUAAUGUGGGACCCGUUUCCGGUUAAUGAAACACCACUCUUUUAUUUUAAGAGAGCUAACAUUACAGGGAUAGUGUAAGUUGGAUAGUUUGGUUGGGGCGACCACCUUUUAAAAGGUAACGAAGGUGAGCUUAAGGUCCGUAGUUAAUAGCCGGUGGCCUGACUGCAAGGGGGACGUCUCGAGCAGACACGUCCUUAGGGAUGUGGACUAUAGUGACCCGUCAU
rnacentral:rRNA from 1 species